ACUGAACGCUGGCGGAAUGCUUUACACAUGCAAGUCGAACGGCAGCACGGACUUCGGUCUGGUGGCGAGUGGCGAACGGGUGAGUAAUACAUCGGAACGUGCCCAGUCGUGGGGGAUAACGUAGCGAAAGCUACGCUAAUACCGCAUACGAUCUAAGGAUGAAAGCGGGGGAUCGCAAGACCUCGCGCGAUUGGAGCGGCCGAUGGCAGAUUAGGUAGUUGGUGGGGUAAAGGCUCACCAAGCCGACGAUCUGUAGCUGGUCUGAGAGGACGACCAGCCACACUGGGACUGAGACACGGCCCAGACUCCUACGGGAGGCAGCAGUGGGGAAUUUUGGACAAUGGGCGCAAGCCUGAUCCAGCCAUUCCGCGUGCAGGAUGAAGGCCCUCGGGUUGUAAACUGCUUUUGUACGGAACGAAAAGGCUCUGGUUAAUACCCGGGGCUCAUGACGGUACCGUAAGAAUAAGCACCGGCUAACUACGUGCCAGCAGCCGCAGUAA
rnacentral:rRNA from 1 species